rnacentral:rRNA from 1 species
GUAGUCCACUGCUGUAAACGAUGGAUGCUAGCUGUCGGUAGGUUUUCCUAUCGGUGGCGCAGCUAACGCAUUAAGCAUCCCGCCUGGGGAGUACGAUCGCAAGAUUAAAACUCAAAGGAAUUGACGGGGGCCCGCACAAGUGGUGGAGCAUGUGGUUUAAUUCGAAGCAACGCGCAGAACCUUACCAGCUCUUGACAUCCCGGUUUUAGUUACCAGAGAUGGUUUCUUCAGUUUGGCUGGACCGGAGACAGGUGCUGCAUGGCUGUCGUCCAGCUCGUGUCGUGAGAUGUUGGGUUAAGUCCCCGGCAACGG